GUCGCACAGGCCGAGUAGCGAGGCAGGCGUCUGCAAAGCGCCGGGUUGCGGGUGCAAAUCCCGCGUGCGAUU
rnacentral:tRNA from 1 species